rnacentral:tRNA from 1 species
GGCCGGUUAGUUCAGUUGGUUAGAGCGUGGUGCUAAUAACGCCAAGGUCGCGGGUUCGAGCCCCGUACGGGCCA